rnacentral:rRNA from 1 species
UGGGGAAUAUUGCACAAUGGGCGCAAGCCUGAUGCAGCCAUGCCGCGUGUAUGAAGAAGGCCUUCGGGUUGUAAAGUACUUUCAGCGGGGAGGAAGGCGAUAAGGUUAAUAACCUUGUCGAUUGACGUUACCCGCAGAAGAAGCACCGGCUAACUCCGUGCCAGCAGCCGCGGUAAUACGGAGGGUGCAAGCGUUAAUCGGAAUUACUGGGCGUAAAGCGCACGCAGGCGGUCUGUCAAGUCGGAUGUGAAAUCCCCGGGCUCAACCUGGGAACUGCAUUCGAAACUGGCAGGCUAGAGUCUUGUAGAGGGGGGUAGAAUUCCAGGUGUAGCG